CCAGCAGCUGCGGUAAUUCCAGCUCUAAUAGCGUAUAUUAAAGUUGUUGCAGUUAAAAAGCUCGUAGUCGGAUGUCGGGCUCGGGCAGGCUGUCGGCUUCGGUCGGACGGCAGGCUCGGAUCUUUCUGCCUUGUUUCUAUUUCGCACUUAACUGUUCGGAGUAGGGAUUAGGCCGUUUACUUUGAAAAAAUUAGAGUGUUCAAAGCAGGCCAACGCUUGAAUACAUUAGCAUGGAAUAAUGGAAUAGGACUUUGGUGCUAUUUCGUUGGUUUAUGGGACCGAAGUAAUGAUUAAUAGGGACAGUUGGGGCCGUUUAUAUUCCGUUGUCAGAGGUGAAAUUCUUGGAUUUACGGAAGAUAAACUUCUGCGAAAGCAUUCGGCAAGGAUGUUUUCA
rnacentral:rRNA from 1 species